rnacentral:rRNA from 1 species
UACGGGGGGAGCAAGCGUUGUUCGGAUUUACUGGGCGUAAAGCGCGCGCAGGCGGCUUGAGAAGUCUAUGGGUGAAAGGCCGGGGCUCAACCCCGUGUGUGCCCAGGAUACUCUCAGGCUAGAGACACGUAGAGGCAAGCGGAAUUCCGGGGUGUAGCGGUGGAAUGCGUAGAGAUCCGGAAGAACACCGGAGGCGAAGGCGGCUUGCUGGGCGUGAUCUGACGCUGAGGCGCGAAAGCGUGGGGAGCGAACAGG